AAACCAAGCAUUACCUCACAGGUCUCCAGGGUUAAACCUAUCUGUGCCAUUACGUGUCUGCCAUGCCUACCGUGUGCAGCUGGGUCUGCCAAGAGACAGCUCAAGGAGGGGGGGGAGGAAGUGAAACAAACUAGGACCAGACUAAUCCAUUUACUUAAGUCUUCUUGUCCUGCAAGCACCAGACAUCAGUUUCAGAAGGAGGG
rnacentral:lncRNA from 1 species